ensembl:lncRNA ZNF594-DT ZNF594 divergent transcript
ACCGCCGAGAGGCCGCGUCCUCAGCUGGUCCUAGACAUGCGUGGCGUCGGGGCUGUGGCACGGUCGGGUCCGGGGACACUUGUUUAACAAGACAUCUGCCCAUGUCCCUGGCCCAUCUCAUUGGCUGCAGCACAUCACAGUGGACCUUCUGCCUCCUCCCAGAUGCCCAGGGACAGUGAUCUGGAAGGAAGGGGCUUGAGGCUGUUUUCCUAGAACUCGACUUGAAUGCACCAAGGAAAGGCCAUUUGUGGGGACAUAGCAAGAAGGCAGCUGUCUGCAAGCCAGGAGGAGAACCCUCACCAGAAACCUCACAGAAAUCGGCCAACACCCUCAUCUCGGGCUUCCAGCUUCAGAACAACGAGAAAACAAAUUUCUGUUGUGUCCUGGUUCCCAUUUGUAAUUGGCACCCUAAUGAAACCGUUUUCUGUAGCCCUGGAAAUGGCUGAAAAUGAGGGGAGGGAAAUAAAGUGCUAUAAUUCAGAGCAUGGAGCACACCUUCCUGGUUCACCUGAGCUGGAUUCGGAGAGGUAAAAUGGCCAUUACCUCGUCUAAGCUGCCACUUACAGACACAGUACAGGAUGAGGCCCAGACCCACAGAGACAACGAUGAUGGCCACAGCUAAGAUGAUCCAGAAAUUAUUCCUCCACCAGCUCAUUGCAGUGGAAUCCUGAGAAGAAUGGAGAGAGAAGAAUGAGGAACUUGGGGUCAGCUCUUAUCCAGUUCAAGCCACUUAUGACCAUCAAUCCUUCAACUUGGUCUGUGUGAGUGUCCAGUAGGUGACGUUUGAUGUCAGAGCGCCAAAAACUCCAUCUUCCAUCAUGCUAAUGCCACCAUUUUGUGAACCUGCAUCCUAUGAAGAACGAUGAAGCUUGACUAGGCUUGCACAGAUUGCCGAUGUCCUACUUUUCCCUCCAAUCACCUUCCCCACACCUUAGGCCACCUGCUUCUUUGUCCCAUAAACGUCUCUAAACCCCAUCUUCGAGGAAGUGGGUUUGAGACCUGUUUUCCCAUCUCCUCACUUGGCUGCCUCAUGAAUAAAUGCAUUCUGUGCUGCAAAA